CAGCAGCCACGGUAACACGGAGGGAGCUAGCGUUGUUCGGAAUUACUGGGCGUAAAGCGCGCGUAGGCGGUUACUCAAGUCAGAGGUGAAAGCCCGGGGCUCAACCCCGGAACUGCCUUUGAAACUAGGUGACUAGAAUCUUGGAGAGGUCAGUGGAAUUCCGAGUGUAGAGGUGAAAUUCGUAGAUAUUCGGAAGAACACCAGUGGCGAAGGCGACUGACUGGACAAGUAUUGACGCUGAGGUGCGAAAGCGUGGGGAGCAAACAGGAUUAGAUACCCCUGUAGUCUCUGUCUCUUAUAC
rnacentral:rRNA from 1 species